UAGUCGCAACUCUCUUGUGGCUCCUCGCUGGCGGCCUCCGGCUUCCUGAUCCUGCUCUAGGGUUUUGCGUUAGCUUGCGGACCUUGAGAGGAGUUAAAAGCAGUGAGGACCGAGACUGCGGAUACCUGAGGGAUCUUUGUCUGAGGGACAGGCUCUUACCCUGCAGGAGUCUUAUGGCCUCUAACCUGCUCUUAAACAGUUCUUUUUACCCCUGUUAUGCCCCCCUCCCGACUCUCUUUACUCAGUAUCUCUCUGGCCUUAAUGAAAGGAAAUACGGCAAGAUAGAUACGCGAACUGUUGUUGCAUAACCAGAUGAGAAAGCUGAGAUCAGAAAGAUAAACUGAGAAACCCGUUCUGGAAGAGAAGUGCAAGUAUCUGAUGUCCAGAAACAAGGAAGCAGUAGCCUCAGAAGCUUCCCAGCUACCUCUGCCCCACCACCACUGCUGUCAUUCAGAUGCUUCUUCCCCCUGCCCUUGCCUGAGGGAGGGGAGGAAGGAAGGGCGAAGGAAGGACAACGCAGAAUUCCAGGAGGAUCCUGUCAGCUGUCAUCUUUGCCAAUGAAAUUUAAGAUGCGUCAUUUUCUGUUUCUACAGAAGGUUUUGCUGAUUUUCUAGUAAAGCCUUCAUUGAUGUGCCAAAAAAAAAAUUACGUAGACAACCCCAGUGACCACGUCUGUGACUUUUCUUUCAUCAGAUAUCAAUCACAGGCUUAUUCAACUUAGCUAGCAUGAACUUUUAAUAAAAUCUGUGUUAACAGGUUUC